UUUCGAACUCCUCUAUUAUCAUUUCUUCGUGAAUGUCACUCGUUGUUUCUACUCCUUUGCGAAGAAUACCUCGUUCACUGUCUCAUCCAAAUCAAGAUCAAACUCUGUUCACAACAGUGAUGUUUCUGCUGCUGCUUACUUAGACAUUUCCACUUGCUAAUAAGGAGUAGAAAGUUUUACAGUUGUAAAAUGAAACACCCACCAUCUUUGGAUAAACAUAAGUGCAUCAGUGUAGAUUUCUCUCCCAAGGGUUAAAAGAGUAAGUAUCUCAAUGCUUCCCAAACUAAAUUUCUACUUUUAUUCUUACUUCUGAUCUCUAAUGCUCCUCAUAAUUGUAGAUACCAUGUAUUUGUUCUAGAGAAUUUUGUUAUAUGUAACUCUCUCUCUCUGUAUUUUGAUGUUUUACUUAGAUGUUUAGUUGGCUACUCUUUAUCAAAGUCAUUUAACUUGAUUAGCCACUGGUUCCUUAAAUACCA